UCUUCCCAAUGAGCUUCUGGUGGAGUUGGAGAUCUCUCGCACAUGCACACCACAUGCAUAUACAUACAUAGCUAAUCAUACGAUCAUAUCACUAGCUUGAGAGAAGGCAUGAUUGUAGUUUGGUCAAUCUAAAUUCAAUUGAUAUUCAUAACAGAAAAAUAAAAUAAAAUACAAGAUUCCCUUCAUUUGUAUGAGCUGUUACUGCUAACCCAAAGACAGAUAAUCCAGUUAUAAACCCUUUUCUUGUCAUAUAUAUAUUGUCAAAGAAUAUAGUUAAACCCUUAAUGCCCCCCCUACUUUGCGAGGGUUGAAGAGAAGAGAACGUCUAUUGUCCGCAACAUUACUCUUGUUUUGUAAAAAUAUUAUUUUUACAAUCUAAACUGAUGACUUUUCGAUCACAAUAGCGCUCUGUUACGCUAGGGCCCCUCUAGAUAUAUAUUGAUGAUUAUAUAAAGGGUUGUUAUCACAAAUGGUCCCUAAAAUGGACCCUCACUAUCAAGAUAGUCCCUAAAAAUAGGUGUCGCAAAUCAAUGUGGUCAUUCCGUCAUAAUUCUGUUAAAAAUUCCGUUAAGUGCUGAUGUGGCACAUAAAUGGGCCCCACAAGAUUUACGAGUUUUUAUUACAAAUGGUC
rnacentral:lncRNA from 1 species